rnacentral:pre_miRNA from 1 species
CAUGUACUCCCUCCGUCCCCAAAUUUUUGUCUUAGAUUCGUCUAGAUACGGAUGUAUCUAAUACUAAAACAUGACUUGAUACAUCCGUAUUUAGACAAAUCUAAGACAAGAAUUUUGGGACGGAGGGAGUACAAA